rnacentral:sRNA from 1 species
GCUGGGCAUGGUGGUGCAUGCCUGUAAUCCCAGCUACUUGGGAAGCUGAGGCAGGAGAAUCGCUUGAAUCUGGGAGGCGGAGGUUGCAGUGAGCCGAGAUUGCACCACUGCACUCCAGCCUGGGCGACAGAGCAAGAUUCUGUCUCAU